GUCCAGACUCCUACGGGAGGCAGCAGUGAGGAAUAUUGGGCAAUGGGCGGGAGCCUGAACCAGCCAAGCCACGUGAAGGAAGAAGGCGCCAGGCGUCGUAAACUUCUUUUGUCGGGGAACAAAGGGCGCCACGCGUGGCGUUGUGAGUGUACCCGAAGAAAAAGCAUCGGCUAACUCCGUGCCAGCAGCCGCGGUAAUACGGAGGAUGCGAGCGUUAUCCGGAUUUAUUGGGUUUAAAGGGUGCGUAGGCGGGACGGUAAGUCAGCGGUAAAAAUGCGGAGCUCAACUCCGUCGAGCCGUUGAAACUGCCGUUCUUGAGUGAGCGAGAAGUAUGCGGAAUGCGUGGUGUAGCGGUGAAAUGCAUAGAUAUCACGCAGAACUCCGAUUGCGAAGGCAGCAUACCGGCGCUCAACUGACGCUGAAGCACGAAGGCGUGGGUAUCGAACAGGAUUAGAUACCCUCGUA
rnacentral:rRNA from 1 species